CCUACGGGAGGCAGCAGUAGGGAAUCUUCCACAAUGAACGAAAGUCUGAUGGAGCAACGCCGCGUGAGUGAAGAAGGGUUUCGGCUCGUAAAGCGCUGUUGGUAGUGAAGAAAGAUAGCGGUAGGAACUGGCCUUUAUUUGACGGUAAUUACUUAGAAAGUCACGGCUAACUACGUGCCAGCAGCCGCGGUAAUACCUAGGUGGCAAGCGUUGUCCGGAAUUAUUGGGCGUAAAGCGGUUGUAGGCGGGUUAAUAAUGCUGUUGGGAAAGCCUUGGGCCCAACCGGAGAAUUGCUUCAGAAACUGGUGAACUUGAGUGCAGAAGAGGAGAGUGGAACUCCAUGUGUAGCGGUGGAAUGCGUAGAUAUAUGGAAGAACACCAGUGGCGAAGGCGGCUCUCUGGUCUGCAACUGACGCUGAGGGUCGAAAGCAUGGGUAGCGAACAGGAUUAGAUACCCGGGUAGUC
rnacentral:rRNA from 1 species